rnacentral:tRNA from 1 species
GGGGAUGUAGCUCAGUGGCAGAGCGCAUGCUUAGCACACAUGAGGUCAUGGGUUCAAACCCCAGCACCUCCA